rnacentral:lncRNA from 1 species
UAUAACUUCCCAUUUUAUCCUCUCUUUGUUUAACUCUCCCAUUCAUUCUAACAGAUGAUCAAUCUGCGGCACUAAGUCUAUCAUACUCGGGUUCUGUUCUAAGACUGCCAUGGGACUAGUAAGGAUGACUUCUUGUACAACUUCUGGGACUACUAUAUCUCCUACUAGCAGUGCUACAUCGUCCAGCUUAAGGCGUGGCCAGUCAGGGCUGUUACACUGUUUACGAAAUAUCCAUUUAAUUUUUUUCACAUAUCUAGCCCGAAUCUUGUUUCGAAAAGGUGAAAGGUUGGAACAAAGCACAUCGAUAUCUCCUUGAAUGUCUGGAUCAUAUUUACUAUGAAGCAUACACUCAGCUUUAUUUAUCUUGUUUUUGAUUGCAUAAAAACUUCUCCUAGCAUCUGUAAGUGCAUAUCUAAGACAACGAGACUUAACUUGGGAUACGAUACGUUUCGACCUGACAGGUAGUCUUAUCCUGUAGAUAGACAUCGGAAAUACCUCAUUAAGUUUACACUGCCGAAGGAAUGUUACGAGCUCCUCUCUCCGUAUCAUGUCUUUAGACAACUUAAGGAAAGUCCUUCUAUCAUCUAUCUCCAUCACCGGCUCAGCGUU